GCGCGAUCUGCGUCAGAAAUAGGAAUGAGUUCUAUUUUAGCCGUUGGCGUCGCAGACCCUCGUUGGCGCACGCGAGCAGUGUGGAUGCAAUAAUUGAAUAACAUGGAUUUCUACACUUAUUUUGCGACGCUCGCGCAAGCGACGUGUCCGGUCUGGUCAGCAUAGCCCAUAGGACUCCGGUCAAAAGUAAGUCACUAUAGGGAGCCAUUUGGGACCAAUGCAACAUAGUGCAGUUGGAGGCCUUGAUGAAGACAGCCAGGGAGGAGGUAAUGACGGCAACCGUGAGAACACAUGGAACCUAUAGAAUGUGAUGUCAUCGUGGCAUGGAACACCCAACAUACAGCAUCCUACAGGCCCACCGAUCAACAAGAGAGCGCUAUCAGAAUGUACACAAAGAACCAAGCUCAAGAAAAUAAAAAGAUUAACACAUUUUUAAAAGGGAACAAGUCUUCGUUUUAACUGUGAAUAUUCAGUCUACAAUAUUUUAGAAAUAAUAAUAUACAAGUUUAGAAUAUUACACUUCUUCA